GAUGAAGAACGCAGCGAAAUGCGAUAAGUAAUGUGAAUUGCAGAAUUCAGUGAAUCAUCGAAUCUUUGAACGCACAUUGCGCCCGCCAGUAUUCUGGCGGGCAUGCCUGUCCGAGCGUCAUUUCAACCCUCGAACCCCUCCGGGGGGUCGGCGUUGGGGACCUCGGGAGCCCCUAAGACGGGAUCCCGGCCCCGAAAUACAGUGGCGGUCUCGCCGCAGCCUCUCCUGCGCAGUAGUUUGCACAACUCGCACCGGGAGCGCGGCGCGUCCACGUCCGAAAAACACCCAACUUCUGAAAUGUUGACCUCGGAUCAGGUAGGAAUACCCGCUGAACUUAAGCAUAUCAAUAAGCGGAGGA
rnacentral:misc_RNA from 1 species